CAGCCGCCGCGGGAAUACGAAGGGUGCAAGCGUUAAUCGGAAUUACUGGGCGUAAAGCGUGCGUAGGCGGAUUCUUAAGUCAGGGGUGAAAUCCCGAGGCUCAACCUCGGAACUGCCUUUGAUACUGGGGAUCUUGAGUCCGGAAGAGGUGAGUGGAACUGCGAGUGUAGAGGUGAAAUUCGUAGAUAUUCGCAAGAACACCGGUGGCGAAGGCGGCUCACUGGUCCGGAACUGACGCUGAGGCACGACAGCGUGGGGAGCAAACAGGAUUAGAUACCCGGGUAGUCCCUGUCUCUUAUAA
rnacentral:rRNA from 1 species